rnacentral:lncRNA from 10 species
UGCAUCCUAACAUGGCAGAAGGUGGAAGGGCAAGUUAGCCAAAUGCUCGCCAAAGCUUCUUUCACAAGGCCCUUAAUCCCAUGGGUGAGAGCCUAUCCCUCCUGGCCUAAUCACCUCUUAAAGGCAUCACCUUUUAAUACCAUCACGUUGGCAGUACCUGGAGCUUUGAGGGGAUAAAUUCAGACCUUAGCAUCUGCCUUCGGUAUGCAUUUUGUAACAACAUUUUUUUCAAUGCUCUUUUGAAUUUCAUUAUUAUUAUUACAGGGAAGAUCUGAAGAUAACUGAAGGCAGAAGAGAGAUUUUAAUCUGUUCGUGGAUCAGUAACAGGCUAGACCAAGAUUCCUAUGUAAUGAGCCAUGUGUUCAUGUCACCGUUCCUUCUGUUUCCUUAAAUAACAGAGAAUCAUUGAAUUUAAAAUGCACCAUCUUACUGACAUUUCUGUCUUUUGUCUAUGUCUAUCAGAAAAUGUGUAAUUGCACCUUGUGAGUUUGUGUGAAGGUUACAGUGGACUUCUGUAUGAAGAGAAAAUAACUUUAACAAUAAGGUGUCCUGUACUGUAUACUGUAUUCUCUUUAUAUAUAUAUAUAUAUUACUCUCAAAGUCAACUGCAUUUCAUCUUAACACAAGCAUACAGGUUUCAAAUAAGGAAUACAUAAUAUGACUUCAAAGGAAUUGCAGUAAGCCUAGCAGAAUGUCAGAUAUAUAUGCAUAUAAGAAGCAGAAGAUAUAAUUUUAAGAACUCGAGAAGAAUAAAAUUAAUUCUAUUCCAAAUUGUUUUCUACUGCUUCUUUGGCAUUUCCUUUCUUGGUAUUUGAGAUUUUAUUUAAGAGUGUAUUUUAUGGUUAUCAAUACAAAUGUCACUGUCUAAUAAUAUCUUAGGAAAAAAUGACACUUUUCAUGUAUAUGGAACUUUAUGUUUCACAAGACCUUUUUUCAUGUAUUACUUGUGUAAAUUACCAAAUUAACUUUUAAAUACACUCUAUUAAAUUUAUUUAUAGGAAAAGGAACUAAAUCUUAUAAUAUUUAGCCACAUUAUUAAGUACUGUAUUUUAUAAGUUGCAGUGUCCCGAACAAAUAUUUGUUUGUCCUUGAAGUAAGAAGCCAUGUGCUAAGAUCUAAAGUGCAAUGCUCAUUAAUAUUAAUAUUGAAUGCAUAAAUAAAGGAAUAAGUGAAAGAGUCUGGGACAAGAAACCAUCUCUUUUGACUUUAAAGGCAAUGUUAACAUUCACAAGUUAUUUAUUAUAUAAUAUUUUACUUUAUCAGGCCACCUUUGGUAUGAUCACUGGACAAGAUCAUAGUCAACAGCUGGUAUCUGAAUAAUCACAUUGCAAAUUUGAAGCUCCAGUGUUCUACAGAGUUUAUUUGGGGGACAAAUAGGACUGAAAAGAGUUAUUUUGCUUAUAUAGCCUCAACAUUGAUUUCAGUUUCCUGUGACUUUUUAUUUCACAAAUAAUCCAGAAAAGAAGUAAUUUAAGAAACAGAUUUAUUUAUUUUUUGUGGGGGAUGGAGGUAUAAUAGGUUUAUUAGUUUUAAGGAGUGGCAGGCAAGAAAACUAGUUUCUAGUUCGGUAUAUGAUAUUAUAACUUCUGUGGGUACAUAAUAGGUAUAGAUAUUUAUGGGCUAUAUUAGGCAUGCAAUGCAUAAUAAUCACAUCAUGAAAAAUGGGGUAUCCAUCCUCUCAAGCAUUUAUCUUUUGUGUUACAAAUAAUUUAAUUACACUCCUUAACUUAUUUUAAAAUGUACAGUUAAAUUAUUAUUGAAUAUAGUUACCCAGUUGUGCUAUCAAAUAUUAGGCCUUAUUUACACAUUAUAUAUUUUUUGUACCCAUUAACCAUCCACAUCCCCUCAACCCACCAUCCACUACCUUUUCCAGCCUUUGUUAACCAUCCUUCUACUCUUUAUGUCCA